CAGGCAGUCACGCAGCCUCUCCUCCAUCCCCCUCCUUCUGCAGUUGUGUGAAAAAAUGCCUUCAAGAGCCAAAAAUGAGAACGGGCAUGAAGCCUUCUUCUGGGAGGUGGUAUACAGCAAUGCUCCAGUUUGUUCACUCUGGCAACUACUGAUAACAACUUAAACCCAGGCUCUCUUACUUAUUUCUGCAAUUAAGCUGUGAGUAAAGAUGAGCUGGCACAUCACUAGCAUCUCAUGCCCCAUCAAGUGAGAGUGUGCUGUCUCUCCUCCUGGCACCAGCAAAGAUUUAAGGAAUUGGCAUCGUCUCUUUGUGCUGCAAAGUGAAGAACUGGCCCAAGUCCUUGGUGAGGCAGACUCACACUUUCAUAAGGAAUUUGAAGGAUGCACCAGCAAAAGACCUGAGAAAAUACAACACCAUUUCAGAGGUGUGAAUCUUUCCGCCUGGUGCUCAGUGGGGUGCUUGCAUUACCACCUCCCCAGCCAACCCAAG
rnacentral:lncRNA from 1 species